rnacentral:rRNA from 1 species
UGGGGAAUAUUGCACAAUGGGCGCAAGCCUGAUGCAGCCAUGCCGCGUGUGUGAAGAAGGCCUUCGGGUUGUAAAGCACUCUCAGCGAGGAGGAAGGUGGUGAGCUUAAUACGCUCAUCAAUUGACGUUACUCGCAGAAGAAGCACCGGCUAACUCCGUGCCAGCAGCCGCGGUAAUACGGAGGGUGCAAGCGUUAAUCGGAAUUACUGGGCGUAAAGCGCACGCAGGCGGUUUGUUAAGUCAGAUGUGAAAUCCCCGGGCUCAACCUGGGAACUGCAUUUGAAACUGGCAAGCUAGAGUCUCGUAGAGGGGGGUAGAAUUCCAGGUGUAGCGGUGAAAUGCGUAGAGAUCUGGAGGAAUACCGGUGGCGAAGGCGGCCCCCUGGACGAAGACUGACGCUCAGGUGCGAAAGCGUGGGGCAGCAAACAGGAUUAGAUACCCUGGUAGUCCAGCGCUGUAAACGAUGUCGAUUUUGGAGGUUGUGCCCUUGAGGCGUGGCUUCCGGAGCUAACGCGUUAAAUCGACCGCCUGGGGAGUACGGCCGCAAGGUUAAAACUCAAAGGAAUUGACGGGGUC